rnacentral:rRNA from 1 species
GGGGAAGGAAAUCCCGAAAGCCUGCCGUAGUUGGGAUCGAGGGUUGCAACUCACCUUCGUGAACAUGGAAUCCCUAGUAAUCGCGCGUCACUAUCGCGCGGUGAAUACGUCCCUGCUCCUUGCACACACCGCCCGUCGUUCCAUCCAAGCAAUACUUGGGUGAGGCGUGGUCCUCUGGGCUGCGUCGAAUCCAGGUUUCGUGAGGAGGGAAAAGUCGUAACAAGGUGGCCGUAGGGGAACCUGCGGCCGGAUCACCUCCUAAGAAA